AUUGAACGCUGGCGGCAUGCCUUACACAUGCAAGUCGAACGGCAGCACGGGGCAACCUGGUGGCGAGUGGCGAACGGGUGAGUAAUGCAUCGGAACGUACCUUUCAGUGGGGGAUAACGUAGCGAAAGUUACGCUAAUACCGCAUAUUCUGUGAGCAGGAAAGCAGGGGAUCGCAAGACCUUGCGCUGAUUGAGCGGCCGAUGUCAGAUUAGCUAGUUGGUGAGGUAAAGGCUCACCAAGGCGACGAUCUGUAGCGGGUCUGAGCGGAUGAUCCGCCACACUGGAACGGAGACACGGUCCAGACUCCUACGGGAGGCAGCAGUGGGGAAUUUUGGACAAUGGGGGCAACCCUGAUCCAGCCAUGCCGCGUGAGUGAAGAAGGCCUUCGGGUUGUAAAGCUCUUUCGGCCGGGAGGAAAUCGCACGGGCUAAUACCCUGUGUGGAUGACGGUACCGGAAUAAGAAGCACCGGCUAACUACGUGCCAGCAGCAGCCGUAACAC
rnacentral:rRNA from 1 species